rnacentral:snRNA from 1 species
GUUGACAAGUAAUUGUUGACAUCUAUUAAAAUUGGAACGAUACAGAGAAGAUUAGCAUGGCCCCUUGCACAAAGAUGACACGCGCACAAUCGUGAAGCGUUCCUUAUUUUU